UGGGAUUUUGGUUGAGAAGAUUUGACUCAGAGCUGGUUUGAUGCUAGAAGCUGAAGGAUGGUACAGAAGGUAAAAAUCUACCUGGGACCAUAAAGUGACUGGAAAAACUCAUGACAGAACCAUUCACUAGGGAUAUCUGUAUCCUUGGAGAAGUUGAAGAUUCAGCUGGAUGGUUUUAUUAUUGAUUACC